rnacentral:rRNA from 1 species
AUUGAACGCUGGCGGAAUGCUUUACACAUGCAAGUCGAACGGCAGCACGGACUUCGGUCUGGUGGCGAGUGGCGAACGGGUGAGUAAUGUAUCGGAACGUGCCCAGUCGUGGGGGAUAACGUAGUGAAAAUUACGCUAAUACCGCAUACGAUCUAUGGAUGAAAGCGGGGGAUCGCAAGACCUCGCGCGAUUGGAGCGGCCGAUAUCAGAUUAGGUAGUUGGUGGGGUAAAGGCCCACCAAGCCAACGAUCUGUAGCUGGUCUGAGAGGACGACCAGCCACACUGGAACUGGGACACGGUCCAGACUACUACGGGAGGCAGCAGUGGGGAAUUUUGGACAAUGGGCGAAAGCCUGAUCCAGCCAUUCCGCGUGCAGGAUGAAGGCCCUCGGGUUGUAAACUGCUUUUGUACAGAACGAAAAGGUUUCUACUAAUACUAGGGGCUCAUGACGGUACUGUAAGAAUAAGCACCGGCUAACUACGUGCCAGCAGCCGCCGCAG